AUGAACGCUAGCGACAGGCUUAACACAUGCAAGUCGAGGGGCAGCGGGGGAUAAGCUUGCUUUUCCUGCCGGCGACCGGCGCACGGGUGAGUAACACGUAUGCAACCUGCCCCUGUCAGAGGGAUAAUCCGGAGAAAUCCGGUCUAAUAUCGCAUAAAGCGUUUGCGGGGCAUCCUGCGAGCGCCAAAGGAGUAAUCCGGACAGGGAUGGGCAUGCGGCGCAUUAGCUAGUUGGGGGGGUAACGGCCCACCAAGGCGACGAUGCGUAGGGGUUCUGAGAGGAAGGUCCCCCACAUUGGUACUGAGACACGGACCAAACUCCUACGGGAGGCAGCAGUGAGGAAUAUUGGUCAAUGGGCGGAAGCCUGAACCAGCCAAGUCGCGUGAGGGAAGACGGCCCUAUGGGUUGUAAACCUCUUUUGCCGGGGAGCAAAAGCGCCGUGCGCGGUGCUAUGAGAGUACCCGGAGAAAAAGCAUCGGCUAACUCCGUGCCAGCAGCCGCGGUAAUACGGAGGAUGCGAGCGUUAUCCGGAUUUAUUGGGUUUAAAGGGUGCGUAGGCGGACAGUUAAGUCAGCGGUCAAAACGGGCGGCUCAACCGCCUGCCGCCGUUGAAACUGGCAGUCUAGAGUGGGCGAGAAGUACGCGGAAUGCGCGGUGUAGCGGUGAAAUGCAUAGAUAUUGCGCAGAACUCCGAUUGCGAAGGCAGCGUACCGGCGCCCGACUGACGCUGAGGCACGAAAGCGUGGGGAUCGAACAGGAUUAGAUACCCUGGUAGUCCACGCAGUAAACGAUGGACACUAUCUGUUCGGGUCGAAUGGGAUCUGAGUGGCACAGCGAAAGCGUUAAGUGUCCCACCUGGGGAGUACGCCGGCAACGGUGAAACUCAAAGGAAUUGACGGGGGCCCGCACAAGCGGAGGAACAUGUGGUUUAAUUCGAUGAUACGCGAGGAACCUUACCCGGGCUCAAACGCACGACGGCGGCACGUGAAAGCGUGCUUACCUACGGGACGUUGUGCGAGGUGCUGCAUGGUUGUCGUCAGCUCGUGUCGUGAGAUGUUGGGUUAAGUCCCGCAACGAGCGCAACCCUUAUCUUUAGUAGCCAGCGGUUCGGCCGGGCACUCUAGAGAGACUGCCAGGGAUAACCUGGAGGAAGGCGGGGAUGACGUCAAAUCAUCAUGCCCUUUAUGACCUGGGCUACACACGUACUACAAUGGCGUUUAACAAAGAGAAGCAAGACCGCGAGGUGGAGCAAAACUCAAAAACAACGUCUCAGUUCAGAUUGCAGGCUGCAACUCGCCUGCAUGAAGUCGGAAUUGCUAGUAAUCGCAGAUCAGCAUGCUGCGGUGAAUACGUUCCCGGGCCUUGUACACACCGCCCGUCAAGCCAUGGAAGCCGGGAGUGCCUGAAGUGCGUGACCGCAAGGAGCGCCCUAGGGUAAAACCGGUGACUGGGGCU
rnacentral:rRNA from 1 species